AUUGAACGCUGGCGGCAGGCCUAACACAUGCAAGUCGAACGAGUGGCGGACGGGUGAGUAAUGUCUGGGAAACUGCCUGAUGGAGGGGGAUAACUACUGGAAACGGUAGCUAAUCCCGCAUACCAUCAGAUGUGCCCAGAUGGGCUUAGCUUGUUGGUGGGGUAACGGCUCACAAAGGCGACGAGCCCUAGCUGGUCUGAGAGGAUGACCGGCCACACUGGAAUGCAGACACGGGCCAGACUCCUACGGGAGGCAGCAGUGGGGAAUAUGGCACAAUGGGCGGAAGCUUGAUGCAGCCAUGCCGGGUGGAUGAAGAAGGUCUUCGAGUUGUAAAGUACUUUCAGCGGGGAGGCGUUAACCGCAGAAGAAGCACCGGCUAACUCCGUGCCAGCAGCCGCGGUAAUAC
rnacentral:rRNA from 1 species